rfam:Felis catus isolate Cinnamon breed Abyssinian chromosome F2, whole genome shotgun sequence.
GCCUGGGUGGCUCAGUCGGUUGAGUGUCUGACUUCAGCUCAGGUCAUCAUCUCGCUGUCUGUGAGUUGGAGCCCCACAUCGGGCU